UCUCUCCCUUUGAGGCUCUCUAGCUGGAAGUUGGAAUCUCCUUACAGUGUCUAUUACGUAGCUGGAGAAAAGAGUCAAGUUGCAGAUGACACAAAUGUGUGUGUUGAGAAACUGACGGAGCCUUAUAACCUUUCUGAAAGACCUCAUUGGAACCACCGUACUCAGAAAUUGUAUUUUGUCGACCUAUAUAAGUAUAUACGUAGACUACACCCUGCAACAGGUGUUAAGCUGUUCGUAUAUUCCACAGCGCA